AGCAGGAUUGAUGGUUUAUCCCUUGAGGUCUACUUGGCAGGCGUGAGGUGGUGCUCACUCCUCACCCCUGCCACAAGCCAACGGUGAAUAGUCAUCUCUAAAAUGGCGUCAGCUCCCGGUGAGUGAAAAUUUAUUGUCGCCAGUUUUUUUUCAAUAAAGUUUAGCAAUAAAAUUGACUAUGUUAAGCAUUUAAGGUAUUGUACAUGCAAUUAUUCAGGUAUACCACAUGGACCUAAGGGAUUUACCAUCAACCCUGCUCAAUGGUCAACUUUCCUUGCGGGGUCACACCCAUUGGGACAAUGGGAGGGUUAAAGAGAGGAAACCUGGCUUUUUCCAUUGAUAAAACGCAGGGCAUAAUCUGGGGCUGUUGAGAUUUGGGUCGCAGCCUUUUUAGCCCCAGAAAAGGUGAUGCAGGCAUAAAACUCACACCAGCAGCUCAGAGUACAUGUUUGAUUAUGUGGUGUCCAUUCCACUUAGAUAGCUGGGCAUAGAACUUUUGGCAAGGCACAAUUGGCUCUGCAAUAAUCAUCUGGUAAGCUUGCACAAGCAACAACCUCUGUCAAUGAGCAUGUUGCUACAGUGCUGGGAUGUGUUAACUGCAAAAAUGGCAAAAGAAACAAUGAAAUUGGCUGCUAAUACUUCGACUGCUCACUGAGCACAUCGACCAUCACAUCAACCUGGUUUACAGACUUGAAGCUGGUCGGUUGUGACAUUGCUUUAAACUCCACAUUUCAUCUUCUGAGGGACACGAACCACAGAGCUGAACAUUUACUGAACGAGUGCCAGUAUGAGGAUAACUAGCAGCUAGGAAUAGUGCAGGACUUGCAGCAGUGAGCGAAGAUGUUAAGAUGACACACAAAGAAAGUUCCAGAGGCUUUUAAAUGUCCAAACAAUUGGCUGAAAAGACUAAACAAUAAAAAAGAUGGAUGACUGACCAACGGCUAGAAUAACAGCAGGACAUAAGUGGCGUUUACACACUGCUGCUCUGGGCAAAAACAUCCUGUUAAAUUCCUGGCAGGCACACCUUUAACUCUGACCCUGUUAAUUACCAAACAGAAGUUGACACGCGUUCCAGCUCUCUGACACAUCUGCUGUCGAGCAGAAAGUAGGCCAGUCGGCUGGGCUGGUGGGUGAGUGUUCGGUACAGUUGAUUGGUCUAAAAUCUUGUAUGUUGUGGCAUUAUGUUGAAAGUAAUUCUCAUUUGUGAUUGAGACAAAAACUAAGAGCUUUACUAAACUAUACUGUCCUUUUAGUAGUUAUUUCAAUACUUAAACUGUUGAGUCUUUGCAGGAGAAUCCAGCUGCACCAGAUGAAGACAGCUCCUGUGUGAUGUUGACUACAGUGGGCCAUUUGUUUGUUUGUUUAGGCUUCUUCUUCUCAGCUUUAUUUGUUUUCCACUUUCUUCACUAUAACUGAUCAUUUCCCUGUCAGUUUCCUUUGAGGCUCUUCUUUAUCCUUAAAUGCUAACGUGGAGGUAUUUAGUUAAGCCAUGCAGGAAUGUAUCUUGAUAGUAAUAUUACAGCAAAGGCGGAUUCUGAAUGAGUAUCACUCCUUUGUGCGACAGAUUGUGAUGUCAUGACCACAUGUGGAACAUCCGCCCGGCCUUGGCGGGAAAGAAUGUUGAAAAUGAAGGUAAACACAGGUAGACUGUGUUGCUUUUUAAAACUGCAUUAGCUGAGACGACAAACUGGUGCGAUGCAGAGCUCCAGGAGCUCUUGGCCUUAGGAGCUGAAGCACAGAUCACAGGAAGUUUACUGGGACAGUGAAGGACAGCUGCGCUUUGUAGCUGUUCAUGAAAACAACUUAAGUAAUUGAAUCAAUACAUUUGCAGGGGGUCUCUAGUAGGAAUGAAUGCCUUGUAAGUUGUACUCAAGGGAAAAAAAGCCCUGGUGCAUCAUUCCCAGGAACUAGAAGUGAGCCACAUCACAGCUGAGCUUCAGACAGCAGCAAGGAUGUUUCUUCUCCACACACAAGCCUGGAGGAGUUUCUGGCGUGUGAUGGUGUUGCUGAUGCUAACUGUUAGCUUAAACUAGCCGAGACAUUCUAUGCUGAUUCCCAGACGUUAAAACAACAACAGCCUUCCCUGUUGCAAGUCAAGAUGGGUGAGUACAUGAAUGUUAAUUCACAGUGUGAUGUAGAUCUGCUUUCUAUCAGAAGCUAAUUCAGGAGGUGGGUGAAACAUAAUUUAAAACAUAGUUUCCAGUCAGCCACACCUGGAGCGCCCAAGCUAGAAGGAUGUCCGCAAAACCACGUGGACCGCACCUUCUUUAUACCACCGAUGCGCAAUUUUUAGUGAAAAACGCCAGAUCACGCCACAGGCUGACCACUAAUGAAUGACCAAAUGCUCCCUGAUGCUGCCUUUGCUUUGUGGCAAAUUAGCAUCACUGUUUAAUGAAAGAGGCUUUAUCAGAGUAUUUCCUUGUCAGUGGCUAAUGUAGGAAAUAGGGGUAGAAGACUAUUUUUAUGUUCAGACUGCAUGUUAAACUCAGAGGGUCAUAUUUCAAAAAUAACAAGUAAAUAACGGUUUCACUGAGAACUUGGUCUUUAAUUAAAUAAGUUGUAUAUAUUCAAUUAUCACAAAAAACUUUUACUGCUCAUGCGAGUAAAGAGAUAUCCUGUUAGCAUGAAUACAGAAUAUAAACUGAUUUUUGUCGAGAGGAGGGUUUUGCAUUGUGACAUUAGGAGCCAUAAAAAGCGCCCGAUGGAGGAUAGAUUCCUGCAUAAAUGCAAAGCAGACAAGGACGUCUGGCUGACGAUAAACAAAGCUGUGCAUCAAACCUGUUUCAUGUUGAAUAACCUGGAGUUUAAAGCUCAACAGCGGCAUCUCCAAAUCCCUGAUCCUGUUUACUCAGGAGUAAAGAAUGGCAGAAAAAUAAACCAAAAGCACAGAAUUAUCACUAUAAAUACUCCAGGUAGGAGAGUAAAACAACUCCUCACUACGGGAUCAAAUGAAAUCCACCAACUGGUGAUCAAAAACAGCCACACAUGUGAAAGUUCUGAAAGUGGCGGCAGAGAGCCAGGAUCAACAUCCAGACCUCCACGCUCCAGGAUUGAUGGUUCCUCACCAUUUUUACCGUCAGCAUGAUACCAAACAUGAGCAUUGCUCUACAUAUCGUUGCUCACUUCAGUUUUGAACACACACACACACACACACACACACACAUGAGGGGCAGAAACUGACCACAAAACUGCCCACUUGUGACUCAUGCUUGAAUAACACACUCAUCCACCUGAUACUCCUGAGUUCAGACGCUUGCUGUGCUGACAGACGGAGCCUCCACACUCACUAUUCCUCACAGACAAUCCUGCUGGAGCACAAACUGAAACUGUAAUUAAAGACAGCAGACUUCAGCUCCUCUCAUUCAAGGAGCAGAACAAGAAAAUGUGUUGAGGGGAGUGGUGCUGGGAUCUAACCAGAUGUGGAUUUGCUGCUGCUGCAGAUGUUUGUAAAACAGCUGGAGAAUCCAUUCAGUCAGGAAUUGAUUAGAAAUCAACCUCAAGCAUAACUGAAACUCAGCUGAAUCUUAUUGCUCCAGUCCUGAUAUAUAUAUAGCUUUUACAAUGAGCUUUUGUAGAAAAAAAAACAUAUUUUGUUCAUUUCUUUAAGCAUUUAUUGGAUUUAUAUUGUGAUGGUCUGAAUGUUUUAUUUAAAUAAAUAAGUAAUCAAUUUAAAAAAAGGGAAAUUUGUUUUAUUUGAAUUAAUUAAUCCAUUUUGAAUCUAACUAAUGAAAAUGGCUUUCAGCUACGGUUUGGAGAAUCAUUUUAAUUAACGUACCACCUGACCUGAUUUCAUUUCUGAAUCUGCAAAGACUGAGAUUGAGAUCUGAAUGCUGCAGAUUUUACAUACAUGUGUAGACGAACAUGACAAGUCUAAAUACCGAGUGAGUAAAUGAGUGCGUGAAGCUGAGCGCCUCUGGGUUUAAUCCCCGGGUGAAUGGUGCACUGUAUGCCAAGCAUUCCUCUGUGUCUUUCUUUGGCUUUCUGGGGAUUAGACCCCACUUACUUCUAGGGGCCGCGGGGCGGGAUCAAAGUCGUCUGAGCUUUUUGGGUCCGGGGAGCGGGAGUGGCUGUGGAAAGUCGAGCUUGAGCUAAGGUAGUCUCGCACAGAGGCACGCGGGAACGUGACACCGCCACUGAGAUGCGAGACAUCAAUGCAGGUCACACACACACCUGGUGGGGGUCAAACCUGUGUUAAUCACCAUAGCGCUAACUGGCUCUAUGCUGACUGAUCGUCAGCCUGCAGGAGGUCACAUCCAAACCUCGGUGUGUGUUUACACUUACACAGAUCUAAGAUUCUGUUCACGGUUUAUGAUUUCUACAGCCUUUUCAGUGAAAAGGUAAAUGAACUGCAAUGACCCAAAAGUUUGAUCCAUGUUAAUCAACACAAAACAAGUUGAGGAAGUCUUUUUUUAGCAACGUUUGAAGCAUUUUAAAUUAGCUAAACAUCCCAAAGCAGCAAAGUCUCAAAAAGAUACAAGAGCAGGAGUUAAAAAGGCAAAGCAGCGAGACCCUAGAGGCACACGGAUGAUAAACUGCCUUUAUCCUCAAAUAUGCUAAACGAUUGGUAGGGAUUUAGUGGGUCUGUGCAUGUGUAGUACUCUGGGACUAAAUGCAAAGAGGAGACUAAUUACGGUACAGCCCGUUUUAAAGCUAAUCUGGGUUACAGCCAGAGCUAUCAGCAGCAUCUAAAUCCUGAUGACAAACAGCAACAAACGGCAUGUUUUAGUAACUCCCCUCGGGAGAAAAAAGAAUAGAAAAUGACCUUCAAAGGAUUUCAGCACCAAGCAGAUAAGAAUAAUCACCGCCGAAGUUAACUGCGCGUUUUAUCUUCAUGUUUUGUCUCUGCUUUUAGUUCCGUCAGUAAAAAUGGAUGAUCGUGACCUAUGAAGGCCUUUUGUUCACCUCCUCUUACAGGUGUCUUCUUCUAUCUGCACUCACACAUCACAAAGCUCUAACAUGUGGUUCUGUCUGCUUCCUUUUGACAGAUGGAAAUAAAAUGGGCCCUCAUGCACUCGAGAGGGGGUGGCUACAGUCUGUUUGUGUUUUGCACCAUUGGAGAUGAGAGUGCAUGCUAUGUGUGGUCCUCAGAGAGAGUGGAUGAGAUAAUUCAAUUCAAUUCAAUUCAAUUCAAGUUUAUUUAUAUAGCGCCAAAUCACGACAAGAGUCGUCUCAAGGCACUUCACAUAAUUCCAAUUCACAGUUCAUUAAGCCAAUCAGAAAUAAUGUUUCCUAUAUAAGGAAUCCAGCAAAUUGCAUCAAGUCACUGACAAGUGUCAGUGACUAUACAGCAAUCCUCAUACUAAGCAAGCAUGCAGCGACAGUAGAGAGGAAAACUCCCUUUUAACAGGAAGAAACCUCCAGAGAAUCCUGGCUCAGUAUAAGCAGCCAUCCUCCACGACUCACUGGGGAUCGAGAAGACAGAGCAGACACACACACACACACACACACACACACACACACACACACACACACACACACACACACACACACACCACACACACACACACACACACACACACACACACACACACACACACACACACACACACACACACAAGUAA